rnacentral:rRNA from 1 species
UACGUAGGGUGCAAGCGUUGUCCGGAAUUAUUGGGCGGUAAAGAAGCUCGUAGGUGGUUCGUUACGUCGGAUGUGAAAUCUGGGCUCAACCCCAGACCUGCAUCCGAUACGGUCGAGCUAGAGUUGGUAGGGAGACUGGAAUUCCUGGUGUAGCGGUGGAAUGCGCAGAUAUCAGGAGGAACACCAAUGGCGAAGGCAGGUCUCUGGCCGAAUACUGACACUGAGGAGCGAAAGCGUGGGGAGCGAACAGG